rnacentral:rRNA from 1 species
AAUGGGCGAGAGCCUGACGCAGCAAUGCCGCGUGUAGGAAGAAGCAUCUUGGUGUGUAAACUACUGUCAGUGGGGAUAAAAAAUGAAUGUACCCACAGAGGAAGCACCGGCUAACUACGUGCCAGCAGCCGCGGUAAGACGUAGGGUGCAAGCGUUGUCCGGAUUUAUUGGGCGUAAAGAGCUCGUAGGUGGCAAGCUAAGUCUAAUGUUAAAUCAUGGAGCUCAACUCCGUACUUGCAUUGGAAACUGGUUUGCUAGAGUUAGGUAGGGGUCAGAGGAAUUCCUGGUGUAGCGGUGAAAUGCGUAGAUAUCAGGAGGAACACCGGUGGCGAAAGCGUCUGACUGGGCCUAUACUGACACUGAGGAACGAGAGCUAGGGGAGCAAAAGGGAUU